rnacentral:rRNA from 1 species
AUGCCGGAGGAGAUCAACGAUACUGUCAUAGUGCUUAUCCCAAAAAGCAAUAACCCCGAGUACCUUAAGGACUACAGGCCCAUAAGCCUAUGUAAUGUGAUAUACAAGGUAAUAUCAAAGUGCAUGGUCAAUCGCUUGCGGCCUUUUUUGGACAAGAUUAUCUCAGAGACUCAAAGCGCUUUUAUCACAGGGCGUUUGAUAACAGACAACGCCACUAUUGCCUUUGAAUGUUUUCACAAAAUCCAUCGCAGCAAAGACCCUGCCAAUACGCAUUGCGCCCUCAAAUUGGAUUUGGCAAAAGCUUAUGGUAGGGUAGACUGGGGAUUCAUGGAAAAGACUUUGCUGAAGCUCGGUUUUGACCACAAAUGGGUCUGUUGGGUGAUGACUCGUGUGAAAUCCGUGAGGUACUCUGUUAAAUACAAUGGGGAACUGCUUGAGAUGUUUCUUCCGACGAGAGGUCUCCGGCAGGGAGAUCCGUUGAGCCCGUACCCGUUCCUUUUCGUGGCGGAGGGCCUUACUGUUGGGGAACGUAGCAGAAAUUCAAAAUUUUCCUACGUGUCACCAAGAUCUAUCUAUGGAGAGACUAGCAACGAGGGAAGGAGAGUGCAUCUACAUACCCUUGUAGAUCGCUAA